CUCAUGGCUAAGCUGCUACAGGACUGUUUUCCCUACUGAACUAAGGAGACAAACCAUGCCAGCUGCUUUUCAAGCAGGUCCCCCACAUUUGUUCCAUUUGUACUGCGUAGGUUUAAGAACUUUCUGCCUGUUCUCCUUCAGAUCAUGGAAUCCUCUAAAGUCUGGGAGACUUCAGCUAGUGUGGCACAGUGUGUUCAGGGCCAUUUCCAAUCUCUAAAAGAAAGGUAACAGCUUCUGUCUUUGUUAAUUUCAGCUGCUUCUGACCAAGUGUAGGGAAAUGCCUUAUUGGACUGCAGUGUUCCCAGUUAUUUGACAGUGUAUUGUCAGCAAAUCAGAAAUAAGGGCACAGAACUGUAUCUUCUGUGUGAAACUUACCAUUUAUUUACAUCUUUACAAUUCAGAAAUAAAAGCCUUGGAGCUCACAAGCCUGUGAGCAAAACAGCUGCUGAGCUGACAGCGAGUCUUCGUCUGCCUCCUCUGUCCUGCUGCGGCCAUCUCCAGCCUCACAGCAGAAGCACGGGAGCCUGAGCAGUCCAGCUGCUCUCAGGCCCACUUCCAAAGCUAUCUGGGUAAGCAGGCACACACACAUCCCUCCCUCUAAAGAAUUUGGUCGGCGCCAUUUCAACCGUGCUCUGGAACCAGCCCUGCCCGAGCAGGGCAGCCCUUUGUGAUUGGUCCUCGUGACACCCAGGCAUAGCUGGCACCACAGUAGGCGGCCUGCAGUGUCUGUCAGGGCAGCGAGGAGACAGGGCAGGAGUGUGCGGGUCUGGCGAAGAGCCCCCGAGCGCAGCCCAAGUCUUUUCCCUCUACCUUUGGCAGCCCCGCGGCUGCCCCAUCCCCACCCUCAGCCUUCAUCCCACGGGAUGGAGGAGAGACCCCCCAGCCGCUCCAGCAUGGCCGGGGAGGAGAGUGGGGCUCCCCAGGACAGAAGAUCUCCAGCGGAGCCCUACCAAGUGACCGAGGUCAUCCCUCUGCAUGCUGAUGCUGAAUUGCUGCCUCUGUCUGAACUGGAAGAGGUGGCCGUAAAUGUCAUCGAAACCUAUGGCAUCAGCAAGGAAAAGGUAAGAGCAGCCAUCUCCAUCUUGGCUGUUCCUGCAUCUCCAGACGGUCCCUCCUUCUGGCUCUGCCUUCAGGCUGCAGGAGGGCUGCUGGCCGGGCAGAGCUGCUGCUGUCCUGCAGCUGUCCUGCGCUGCUCCACACCCCGCAACGCCUGGUCCCCCUGGCCAUGGUUGUCCCCACUCACUCUCCUCGGUCUCUGUGUGCUUGCCAGGAUCUGGUGCAGAAGCUGCAGUUCCUGAACUGCAUUUGCUCACUGUGCAGCACUGCUGGAGAGAAAGGCUGGACAAAGAGCUUGCGUAUCUUCUGCUUGCUCAAAGAUCAGUCAAGAAGAUUGAGGUGAGGGGACAUGGCACCCAGGUACCUGCACCCUGUGAGAAGGACAGGACAGGGGGAGGCAGAAAAAUCAUGCACAGACACCAUAGUGUCCCAGAUGGGACUCCAGGUGUGAGGAGCCCAGGGAGCAGCUGAGCACAGCACUCAGAUACCACUGCAUGAAUGCGAUUGCUGCCCUGAGGUACCUGCCCAGUCCCUGGUUUUGCCAGCACAUCCCUCGGGCACCAUCCUGGUGGCCCUGACGCAGCUCCCCGCUAAGUCUUGGCCCUCGCCCCAAAGCUGGUGACAUCAGGACUGUCCUCUGACCCAGAGCAGCCCCGUGGGGGAGGAGGCACCUCCUGGCAGGGCUCCCCAUCCCUCUCAGGGAGCCUUGCCCAGGGGAGGACCUGUUCCACCCCUGCCUCAGCACCCAGGCACCUCUCCUAGCAUCAGUGUCUCUCUAAUUGCAGCACAGUGAAUGCAGUUACGGAGGAAGAAAUACUCCAUCUCUUCAAGGUGUGCUGCAGCAUCGUCUUCUAUCUUCCUCCAGCCAGGGCCUUGAACAUUUCCCUCUACAACCAGGUAUGUACUGGGCAAUCUACUGUUGACCCCAUGCCUCUGGGCUGCCGCUUGCAUUACUUGUGUCCAGAGAUCUAUCAAGAUGUUUGUGGGAUGAAUUGGCAGCCUUGCUUGCCCUCACCCCUCUCACUCUUGCCUUGGGCUUGGCAAACAGCCUGUGUUGUAGCCUGCUCUGAGUGCAGCAGCCUUGCAGGGUGCCCCUGUGCACAGAUGUGCGUGACAGGAACACAUGUCCCAGCAACGUUGCUGUACAGGUGUCCUAGCAACGUUAAUGAACAAGAAUUAUCCCUCAGAAGGCUAUGCAGGACCAGCGGAAAAGUGCUGGGAGCCUCAGUAUGGACAAUCACCAAUAAGAUGUGUUAGGAAACCUGUUGUCUGCAACUAUCCAUAAGUGAGCAAAACUUCUGUCAGCUUUGUCUCUGGUUGCCACAGAAAGAAUAAAGGGAUCUUUUUUUUAUUUCCUGGAGUGAUU
ensembl:lncRNA